AGUGAACGCUGGCGGUAGGCCUAACACAUGCAAGUCGAACGGCAGCACAGUAAGAGCUUGCUCUUACGGGUGGAGAGUGGCGGACGGGUGCGUUAUACAUCGGAAUCUACUUUUUCGUGGGGGCUAACGUAGGGUAACUUACGCUAAUACCGCAUUCGACCUACGGGUGAAAGCAGGGGAUCUUCGGACCUUGCGCGAUUGUAUGAGCCGACGUCGGAUUAGCUAGUUGGCGGGGCAAAGGGCCACCAAGGCGACGAUCCGUAGCUGGUCUGAGAGGAUCAUCACCCACACUGGAACUGAGACACAGUCCAGACUCCUACGGGAGGCAGCGGUGGUGAAUAUUAGACAAUGCGCGCGAGCCUGAUCCAGCCAUACCGCGUAGGUGAAGAACGACUUCUGGUUGUAGAGCCCUUUUGUUGGGAAAGAAAAGCAGCACGUUAAUACCCCGCUGUUCUGACGGUACCCAAAGAAUAAGCUCCGGCUAACUUCGUG
rnacentral:rRNA from 1 species